AAUGGCGCGGACAAAGGGUCGCGAGCGCGCGAGCGUGAGCCAAUCCCAAAAACCGCGNCUCAGUUCAGAUCGCAGGCUGCAACUCGCCUGCGUGAAGGCGGAAUCGCUAGUAAUCGCAGAUCAGCAUGCUGCGGUGAAUACGUUCCCGGGCCUUGUACACACCGCCCGUCACACCAUGGGAGCUGGCCAUGCCCGAAGUCGGAGCACCCGCCGAAGGCAGGGCUGGUGACUGGGGUGAAGUCGUAACAAGGUAGC
rnacentral:rRNA from 1 species